ensembl:lncRNA
CACAUGGCAGGUUGCUGUGGUCACUGCAGAACCACUGCAGUGGAGAGACUGGCAAACAGGCAGAGGAGCAGCGCCUGUGGGAACCUGCUGGAUGACUCUCUCCAGGAAAGAUAGUUUGAUGCAUUGUCCUGGCCUCCUGCCACUUCUUCUAGAAGGCCAUUGUGUCAGAUGCCAGACAUCCUCCUCCUUCAGAAAAGUUUCUGUAACUCUGAGGUGUCCCCUGGAGUCACUGCACUGACACAGGUCACUUUCCAGACGCAUCAUUUGCACUCCUGGAACAUCCAACAACCCGAAGCAUUCUUCUUUUUUCUAAGUUCUGGCCCUUUUGGUGAAGCAAAUUUACUCUGGAGAUCAUUGUGGCAAAAAUGAACCACAGCUGUGGCGUUUUUCAUUGCAGCAUUGAUUUCAAUGUACAAAUCUUACUGUGUGGAAAUACCACGGGCCACUUCUUGGAGGACUCUCUUCUCUAUUUUUUGCACACACUUUCUCAGCUUUGGUUGGUAAUUUUUUUUUGUUUUAUUUACAUUUGUCUUUGAUGAAAAUUUCUAAAAUAAAUAAUUAAAAUAAAAGACAUAUCCCUCAGGAGGAGCCCUUAACUAACUUUCUGUGUCUUCUUAGACAUUAGUGUUGCUGAUUUAAAGCCUGGUGAAGCCUCCAAACCAUCACUGGUCCCUGCUCAGCUGCAAUGGAGAUACAUAAUUGGAUAUUCAUCUGAAUUGGCGAAUCUGCAUUGCAUUUCUUUUGUGUUCUUUUGUUCCUUUCCAAGUGCAUAUCAGAUUCAUGUUAGUCACUUGGCUGUGUUCAGCGCUGGAAGUGUUUCUGAUGACCAAAUUUUUCUCCUGGUGUCCGUGUUGAGAUUCCCUCAGGUCUCCUUUGUGAUUUCCUCUGAAGAAGUCAGCUUACACAUGUUCCUUUGGGCUUUUUGCAUCAACACUUGAUAAGUACUGUGUGUUGAUAAAACAUGAUAGCACAUUCUUGAAGACUCCCUGAAAGCACAUUGCACACAUUUCAUUGUGUAGAAAUAGACAAACCACAUUUAAGAUGAUCUCAAGCAGUACAGACCCUUCUCAGCCUUGAUUUCAUUAGAAUUUAGUGAAAACUUAAAUGUCUGAUGAGGAAUCUGAGAUGGAAGAUGCUACAGUGAUUUUUUUUAUCCAAGGUUUAAGGUUAAGUGCUGGUAUUCAUCUUGUCCUUGGUAACUAAAAUGAUUUUUUUUUCUCUUCCAAGUUUGUAUUGGUAGGAUUUUUGGGUAAUUUCUCAGAAAAAUAGAAUGCAAGUAGAACAUUACAAUUAAUCUACUUUAGAAUAUUUGCAAAGGGUGAGUGAAAAGGGAGAAAACUGCAGCUCUUUGCAAGUAAUGUGGGGUCUGACCAGAGGAAAAGCAACUCUGCAUUUGCUCUGAAUAUGAACAAUUCUUGAAUUCACUGUACUGAAUGUUCCAAUAAAUUUUAGGAAUACAGCAACUACUGAACAUAAUUAGGUGUAAGAAAUAUUCUAAGAGAAAACAAAUGCUAAUAUAAAGAAAACAGGUGUGGCAGAAGGGCUGAGUCACAGCCUGAAGCAGUGAUUGAGCACCUGGUGGGAAGGCAGGGCCAGCCCAGGGGAGCUCAGGUGCAUGCAACGUACCCAAGUGAUGGAAGGGCUGGAGGCAGGAUCCACCCUUUCCCAGACCUCAUUUCAGGGUUGGUAGUGGAGGUGAGGGUAUGUCUUGUUGGGGAUCCCUGCCUGCUUGAAGCCUUCUAAAGGGGCACAGUACCACAAGCGUAGCUUGACCUUGUACCUAGGAGUGCAUGUAAAAGAAAUGAAGACUCAAGACGAACAACAAAGACUAGGUGUCUUUAAGUUGAAAGAAUUAUCUGAGCCAAGAAAGGGCAUUUGAGGAGCUGGAAUACUUUCAUACCAGGCACAGAUAUAAUUCCAGCUCCAAAGAAAAGGUUUGAAUGUGAGUGUUGCAGGAAGAUAUUUGCACUGUUUCUAGGAAUUUAUUCUCUGGCAGCUAGGUGAGGAAGAAGAGGAAGUGUUAUUUAUUACAUAGCCAUCUGUAGUCCUUGACUGGAAUUCCACAUCUCCUAUUGCAUCACCAUUCUCUGUACCCACAAGGAAGAGGAAGCUACUGUCAGAACUUGGAGCAGCUGAAGUGUUAAGCAUUUCCUCCCACCUUACUUUGGUUUAUCCUUGAUGUUCCUUUGCUUGGUAUUUCGUGAUCCUGGUAUAGCCCUGGACAUAGAGACCUCUAGGACUUCAGUGGCAAGGUGAAACAAUAGCAUACCAAACUAUGGCAUAAGUUUGAGAAGAUUUUUUCAGGGACUGAAGCCACUGAUUAACUGAGCUGCUUUUUUUCUGCUGUCUGUCCUUUAUGUGCUUCUCUUUGGUUUAAAAGGGAGGAGGGGACAGUGGGCUUUAACAGCAGCUUCUGAAAUUGGCUUUCUUCUUUCUAGCAAGUACAGGUGAUACGUCUCCAAUAUCUCCUAAGAGCACAUUGAUCGUUUUCUAUUUGGAAGCUUUUAUAUAAUAACACUCUGUUACUGAAGACAAGCUCAGAUUUGUUUAUUGAGUCACCAUCUGCCAGAAGAGGGUCUCAGAUGUUCUCCAUGAUGACAAGAGUACAGAGCCAGUCCCACUGCACAUGGACCCCCCUGCUACCCAGAACCAGCUGGGGUUCUCUUUCCAAGCAUGACAUCUGAAGCACUGCUCAGUUUCUCAAGGACCCCAGCAAGGCAAAAAUGUCUCACACAAUAGGAAUGCAGAGAAAUGAUGGGUUGGAAUAAAUCAGGAAUUGACUUAGUUGUUCUCGUUUCAACCAGAUACAGAAAAGUUCCUCCAUGGGCAGUUAUUAGCAGCCUAUACACUAACAAAUGUUCUUCCUAGUGUUCUUGUUAAAAUUAAAAUAAAUAAAUAAUUGUUGUUUUAAAAUAGAUAACCUCCCAUGUUUAAAGCAAAAGUUCCAACCUUGUAAUCUUCCCUUCCUAGCUUUUAACUUGUGAUCUUUCACCUCCUUUAUACUGGUACCACUACUGCUCACCAGCUACAUCAGUGAGUUAUCUGGGUAAGAACUGGCAUGGGGUAACGUCAUGUGGGAGAUGGCAGGAAUGCCAAUGCUGGAGGAAGGCGGGAUGUCCCUCUUCCAUUCCUUGGUCAUUAUCCAGACAUAUUGGAUUAAAUCCAUGGUAAAACCUCAGCCUGGCAUUUGAUGAAGGGUGCAGGAUGUUCAGGAUCCACUGCUUUGGGAUGCAGGGACUGCAGGGUGGACUCAAACGGUUCUCAGUGAUCAAAGAUUGCAGUGUUAAAACCAACAGGCGACAUGACAGCCAUACAUCAUAUUAGCAAAAGAGCACUUCCAUGUGCUCUGCUGGGAGGCAAUGGUUCUGUGGGACACAUGCCAGGUGCUUCAAGAGCAUCCUGUAGCCAUAUAUCUGGCAGGGCAGGCAGAAGGAACGUGCUAAGCAGUAGCCUCACUCGCAGACUUCUGAAAUGACAAAUAUUCCUUAAAGGAGUCCAUUAAAAUAAAAUAAUGCCCUUUCAAUGUACAUAGGGAACAUAUAUAACAAAAUAUAUGAAGUACCUGUGUAUUUUCUCUAUUUGAUACCUGAAUCCAUGAGAAUAGGGGAUAAGGUACUUUCAGAACUGUAGAAUGGUAGAUAGUAGACAACAAAUUGUCUCAAAACACACUGAGAUAUGUUUGUAUUCCAAGUGAUGUGUGCCAGAUAUUGGGCAACAAAGUACGUGUUUUUGUGGAGAUGUGACCCAGCUGGUCUGUUGAGCCUUUGGUAAUGCACUUCAUGCUACUUGAGACUAUAUAGUGCUUCUAACCAUCCUCCCAGGGCAGUUUUCUCCUGCGACUCCACAGCCUUUGGGAGUUGCAUGGCCACAGCAAACAAGUGGAAGUAAGGAGCUUUCAUCCAACAGUGCCUGUUUUUCAAUCAACUCAAAAUCCACCAAAGUGCUUGAGUGGAAGGAGGACAGUCAGGAAAGCAAAAGAGUAUCUGGAGUUGUGAGUGCUGAAGUGUGCCUGGAGGCAGGGGUUAAAGGCAGCUGGAGGAGCAAAGAAACGCAGAGGGAAUAUGGAAUAGAAAAGUGCAUCAAAGCCUGGGUGAGUGAGUUAUGUCCUGAAGUGGUGUGUUUUGAUGGCCCGGUGUUGUUGAGCUAGUUGGAGAUGAGCACAGCACUGUACUCUUCAACAAAAGAGAUGAGAGUGGAUCAGGAGCAGACCUCUGUAUCCUGCUAACAGACUGGUCUAUGGAAGGGAGGCAAGCUCCUUGAUACAUGUAACCCUAAGCCAAGUGUGUUCCAUGGUUUUAGAAUUGUGGGUUAGGAGAACGAUAGAGUAACAGUAGCUAAAAUCACCCAGGUAAAGACAACUCUUCAGGGGUAAAUGAUGGCUGGUAUGGAGAGAUAAAAGAGCUGGACUGCAAGGAGAGAGGAGAACGGAGAACAGAGUUUUCAUUUCCAGCUCAGCUGGUCUUGUUGUAGUUUGAGCGCACGCUUAGGGUUUCUUGCUGUGCUCCAUAACUGGUGAAGCUGGGGGAGAUAGGAAGGGUCCCACCAGCACAGGAUGGUGCUGGAACAGAUGGAGCAGUCUGAUUCUUCCAUCAGGCUGGUGACAGUGCUCUCUGGAAGGUACCGUGCUCGCCUGUCGGGAUCCCUGAAGAUAAUAGGCUCUGUGCUCUCCAGAGAUGGACCGCUGCAAACGAGUCAUCUGGAACUAAUGGGUUUUGUGCCUUUGAUUGGACUGUGCUUUUCUGUAUACCUCCUUUGUCAGCCUAAAGGUCUGCUGAGAUCCAAACCAUGCUGUAAUUAUUUCCACACACAACAGCAAAGGUUGCUCUUUAAGCCGAAAUUUUGUCUGAUGUAUCUUCCCAGGAAAAUAAGCUUGAAUAAUUACUGGUUUUUAACAGUAAAAAGAUGUAACUUGUGUUUCGGAGGAUUAAAAUCUACAACCUUAUCUAAAUACAGAAAGAACAGCUGGCAAAAUGGAGUUUCUUUCUACAACUUAAACAGAAUCUGUCCUCCCCAAGCCUGGUUGGUUCUCAGCCUGCGUACACCUGUGUUAAUUUAAUAUGGUUCUUCAGUGGACGACGUUUGAGAGCAAGAAGGCACCAGUUCUGUCUCCUCUCUCUGUAUGGAUUCUCCCCUCGUUGUCUCAGCAGACAACACUUUGGCUUGCAGCCUUGGAGGAUGAUAUUUAGUACAGUGACUGUCGGAGGAGUGGGAUUUGUGGUGACUGGGAUUUUUGAAGCAGGUCUAAAUCCUGCUGGCUUGCAAAGAGAGUAAAUUCUAAAGGGUCACAAAUGCUGAUACCACUUGGGAGCUUCUGCCAUCUUACCAGACUUGAAACUGUGAGAACUGUUAUAGGAAUCAGCUUUGAAAUGACCAAAGGUAUCAGCUUGUCCUCCAUUAGAAAUAAUUUCUAGGCCUUGGGCUGCACCCAGAAAAAUAAAAAUAAUCUGAAGAGAUUUUAAUUAUAUCUCCACUAGUAAUAAAGCAGCUUUUUCCUCCAAAUUAAUAUGAUCGAUGUCUGUAUGCUAUUGAGAAAUGAGGGAUGUCCUUCUCAAAUAGUAUAAAGUGCACACUUUUGUCAGUUUCUUCUAAAAAUAAUAAUAAUAAGAAGAAAGGGAUUGCUGUCUUUCUGGGCUAGAAACUAUUUGUUCCUCUUAAAAAGCCUUUAUAAGUGUGAGGUGUCUGCCGUCACUCAGAACAGGGAAGCUGGUGCCUGGAGUAUCUGCACCUUUCAUGUCUGUGAGGGAACGAAAGAGCUUUGUGCAGAGAGGAAUUUCAGUCUGAAUCACAGACUGUAGUUUUGUUGGAAAUGGAAGAGUAGAUGCAGUGAAAAACUGAAGAGGGAAGUGUCUCGAACUCCAAAAUUCCUGCACUUCCUAUUAAUAGAUCUGUGUUUAAAAUAAUGUGAAAAAGUAAAUCUCUCUAAGGCAUUGAAUCAUGUGCAUUCCCACGAGUGCUCAGCAUGUGUCUGUGCUCCACAUCUCUCAUCAGACACUGUCCCUUCCAUGUUGGCUCCAGGCUUGCACUGCAGCAGGAACCUCAGUGGCUUUGGGGAUUGAUAGCUGACCUGGUGGUUCAUGAAACAUUUGUGUUCUCCAUACUUUAUUAGUCACUGACAGACUCAUUGUUUAUAACAUACUUCUCAGCAAGCUGUUUGCGACUCAUCGCCCUGCUUGCUUUAUAGUCUAUAAAUAUUUAAUUCUUUAAUAAACAGCUUAUAUGUAAUAUCAAAUGACUGAUGCACUUCUUUCCACUCUUCAGCAGUGCUACUAUUUGCAAAACAAUCUAUUUUUUUUCUUUCUUUUUGAAUAUCAAUAUGUUUCAUAAAUUCUUGAAUUUCCUUUUCUAAACAGCCAUUUCUUCAGGGUGCUUGGUACAAUGACAAGCAGAGCAAUGGUUCCUGUGGCAUUAUAAUAGCUGCCCCUUUCUAAAGUCUCCAUGGGGAGAUUCACUUCACAGUGGUCACAGAUUUGCAAUCAGGAGUAGUUUGAAACAGCAGCAGUCAUAUUUCACAGCUGUGCAUGUUAAAGAGCAGCAGCAGCCUGCACGGCCAGAACAGCCCUGCAGAAGCUGUGUGAGAGCAUCCCUGGUAGUAUGCAGAGCAGUGUGGGCAUCUCAGAGUAUCACUGCCUCUUGCUGCGAGCUGCAUCACCACUCCUCUGCUUCACACACAUUGCUUAUAUGGUACAACCUGUGCUUCUUUUCCCAUCUGUAAUCUUCUUCCUGCUACCUAUAGAAAGAGUCGCUGAUGGGAUCCACUGCGCUGGGGUCAGAAAGCCAUUGGUAUGGGUGGGUGAGGCGGAGGUGAUCUGCUUGGGUCACUGCGGCUCAUGGCAGCAGCUCAGUGCCUUGCAGCAGACAGGCUCUAGGGUACUCUCUGAGGUCUGGCUGGCUGCCAUACCAGUUGCAUUUUGUCUGGAUGGUAACGUGUCUCAGUAGGGCCUUCAAGAGUGUUGUGUGGUCAUGGACGGGAUAUUCAUAUCUAACCCUAAGUCAGGCUGAUGGUCAGACUUCCCUUGUGCCUUGAAUUUUUGCACUUUUUCAACUUUGAGCAGAGAGAGGCUGGAUUUAGGAUUCCUGCCUAGAGGUGGUAUUGGUGUCCUGUUUUUGUUCGGAGCUGGCAGACUUGCCUUGUGCUCAGAUUCCCAGGUGGCUUUACAGAAGGGUGUGUGCGUGUGCAUUACAAAUGCAUCUGUGGAGAUGCAGGAAGGAACUUGAUUCGGAGAACUAAUAGAUGAGAUCAUAGUUAUGAAUCUUCAGGCAUUGGGCAGCAGUCCCUCUUUGCUAUGGGCCACUGCAUCCUCUGCCCAUUAGUCCUUAGAUGAGAGCCUUAUCCUUCUGUUCAAGGUUCUUGGUGCUCUUUUAGUGAUAGAGCCUGCUUGAAGACCUGGUAGCUGUUUGCUCAGGACUCCACAGCCUGCUUUGAACAGAUGCUCAUACCAUAUCCUUGUCAGACACUAUUAAAAGGCAGAGAAACAACCCCGGUCUGGCAGCUGGGGAUCUGCUCAGUAGUGUUUCUAGUUAUUGGCAGCAUCUGCAUGUGCCCACAGGAUGGAAGGAGAGGACAGCUCCUCUGAGAACAGGUCCCACCUGCAAGUCUUUAUUUUCCAUCCUGCCUGUUCUCUUCUUGUGUUUAAAGCCAUGGUCCUUCUCUGGAGAUAAGGCUGGCAGCAGUAUGAGCCUUUCUUACACCAUGGGCGUUGUAGAGGCUGAUUCAGGAUCUGUGCACAGCGGGCACACAAGCAGGUUUUUCUAAUGUCCUUCGCUAAUGUCACUACGCUGCAAUGAGGGCGUUGCUGUUCUGUGAUGGCCCAUUAAAUCUUUGUUAACCCUAAGUACAUACAAGACCCUGAUCCAAAAAAGCAUUCCUAGCAGAGCACAGAGCAGCCAAGAGGUUCUUCUCCAUACACACACAUUUGUGUGUUAAAAAUAUCAAGUGAUAACAAUUCCCGUUCUGAGGAAGAAGCAGGUGAGAGAGGAUCACAGAAUCACAGAAUGGCUUAGACUGGAAGGGACCUUAAAGAUCACGUAGUCCCAGUGCACCUGCUGUGGGCAGAUCAGGCUGCCCAGGGCCCCAUCCCUGGCCUUGGGCUUCUCCAAGGAUGGGGCAUUCACAGCCCUCCGGGCAGCCUGUGCCAGGGCUUCACCACCUCUGGGUAGAAAUUUUUUUCCCAACAGCUGAUCUAACUCUCCACUCUUUUAGUUUAAAGCCAUUCACCAUUGUCCUACCACUCUCCUGUUGAUAAGCUCCCCUCAAGUACUAGGAGGUUGCAAUGAGGUCUCCCCAGUCUUCUUUUCUCCAGCCUGAAGAAGCAUUGUUCCCACCGCCUAUCUUCAUAGGAGACAUUCUCCAUCCUCUGAUAAUCUUUGUGGCCCUCCUCUGAAGCUGCUCCAACAGUUCCACAUCCUUCUUGUGCUGGGAGCCCCAGGCCUGUAUACAGUGCUCCAGAUGGGGUCCCACAAGAGCAGAGCGGAGGGGACAAUCCCCUCCCUGCCCCACUGCCAUUCCUCUGCUGAUACAGCCCAGGAACCAGGAAUCACUGUCUGCCAGGUCUGUCCCACCUUCAGUAUCCUGGUGGCACAUGUGGCUGGGAGCAGCCCACUCCCAGACUGUCAUCCCUGUGCUGGAGGCACAGAGCAGUGGGCAGGGCAUGGGCACUGCAUCACUUGUACUGUCCCUGAAGCAAUGCACAGAAGCCUGCCUUGAGCCAGCAACAGCAUCUAAACACUAACACGCACUGCCGUGUUGUCACUUUACCCACAAGGCUGUCAUUGAGCUCCUCCUUUGUUACUGAAGCAUGGCACUUAACACAUUCUCCCUCCAGUUCCUCUUCCUGUCCCCCUCCCACCGUGUAUAUCACUGAAAUUUCUGAAUGGAAGCAGGGAAUGGUGUAGGCACUGAGCUCCUGGUCCUCAAAGAGUCUCCAGGCAGUGAGCAUGACUGGUGCCCCAGCUUAAGUAUGAGUAAUGAUAAAUAAGUAAAUCACGCAGUGGGCUGUGCUAUUCCCUAAUGAGCCUGUUUGUCCCAAGCGCUGUGCAGAAAACACUCUUCUCCUUGGCAAUAACCUUUCUGCAUAUUAACAUUAUGCAUGUAUUCAUGUGACUUCCUCUGCUUCACCACCACCUCCUUCAACUGAUUUAAAUAAAAAUAAUUUAUGUGGACAUUCCUUCAGUCAGGAUUCCCCCCCCCCCCCCCCCCCCAAUAAUAUAUCGUUGAUGCUGUGCACCCAAAUGGGGUCGUUAUGCCUUUGCAUAUCAUUAUAAAGAAUUAUAAAGAACAACAGCGACAUCUGCAUGUGCUGCAGCGCUACAGAGAUGGGCAAAAAUAGAGAAAACAAACCCCAAAUGAGCUCUGAGCUUGUCUGGCUCUGUCUUUCCUCAGUGCCUUUGCCACUACCAUGGACGAAAGUAAUUGUACAGUGUAAUCACAUCACAGCUCAUCUGAAUAUUCAUAGCCGAGACAAAGACUUGGAGAAGAAACGUGGGGGAGGGAGAAGGAGGAAAAUUUAAAUAUAAAACAGCAUUUCAUUUUGAAGCAAAGUUCUGCAUUCAGCUCAAGAGAUCGUCUCGAUAUUGAUAUUGUCUAUCUUUCUGCCAUUCAAGACCAGCGGGCAGCAUAGCAUCGCGCGGGCAGCCCCCUCCAUUGGGAAAGAAAAUAAAGCAAAACAACAAACAGCGGUAGAAAUGCCCCCAGCAAAAAUGAUAUUUGAAGAGUCGCCAACAGUGGCUAACCAGCUGCUGUUUUACCACAGAAGAAACAGUCUAUUGAGGGAGCUUUAUAAAGACCCCAAUUAAUAUGUUGUGCAUGUAUAAGACCUACAAAGAGCCCACUGUGUUCCUCCCCCCGCAACCACCACCACCUCAUUCCUAUCGGUGCCGGUGGAGAAGGAUCUGAACUACCAAAUAAUUGAUUAAUCUCUUCGGCAGUGACAACACCCCUCUCCAAAAUAAAGAGAGAAGAAAAACAAACACAAGAGGCAAUUGCUUGCUAAUUAAUGCAUAAAUUACCGCUGGUUCCAUCCUCCUUUUUAUCUUCAAAAAAAAAAAAAAAAAAAAACAGAAAAGCAAGAGAAAGAGAAAUAUAAUCCCCAUCUUAAUGUAUAUGUUGUCUUCAUUUCUUUUGUUUUACUCUGGUAUCCUUUACUAAUAUUAACCAAGAAAUGUGGUGUUUGUUGAAGCCGCAGCUGGCUCUGCCAGUCUGUUCCCCAAAGAGCUCCUAUUUCCAUUCCACUGGAGCUUAUAUUCCUUUAAAUGUCUAGCGCAGCAUCGUUUACCCCUUUCUAAUACAUCACUCUGCUGAAAUUAGAAGAAUCCAAGGUUAUAUCCAACUUCAAAGGUUUCCAAGUCACCAUGAUUUUAGGAAAAGUAGAAGACAGACCAUGGAACAAGUCCCUGCUUUUGAAGAUAGGCAUCACAGGGACCUUCCUCCCUCUGCCUCUUUCUCGCUCUCCCUCUCUCUCCCCCCAACUUUGUACCUCUCCAGCUCUGAACGUCCUGUGCUAAUGCAGUUUAAUGAUAUGCAAAUGAAAUAUGCAUAAAACCAUUCUACUGUAUGAUGAUUAAACACUGGAGACAUUAACAGCCGACACUCCGCUGUUUGACUAUAAUAAUCUUUCCCGAAUAUCCACUUUGAUUGCGGAGUUAUGGAAACCCAUAGCAGUUGGCAGAGAGAGAGGGAAGGGAAGGAAGGAGAGAUGCGGGGACACAUCACCCAUCUCUGCAUUUAUCCCACUCCAGGAGACGUUUCCCCCCCUUUGUACUGCGUUCCUACUGCUGUCUUUUGUAAUCCAUCCAUGCGGUCGCACCAGGGCGAUUAACGGGAAAAAAACCCUCUUUUCUCUUAAUGUUUCAAAGCUCAUUAGCCAAACGAUUAUUCCUCAUUAACAGCGAAAGCUCAUUCAUUAACAGAAAAAAUAUGCCCAAAAGAUGCCAGCGCUGUUAAUCCCGAGCCCUGUAGCUGGGCUGUAAAUCCCAUGCUAGUAUUUUCCACGCAGAGGGGAAUCGCGCCAAUCCACAAAAAAAAAAAAAAAAAAAAAAGGAACAGCAAGAAGAAAACAUUUUGUGUGUUUUGUAAAAUCCGCAAGAGAGGCAAUUAAUAUUCCCGCUGUGUGACUUUAUUUUUUGUCUCUCCCUUUUGUUUCCAGUGCCCUUCCCUGGCUCAGCGCCCGGUGCCAACAGAACACCUUGCAGGAUCCUCAGCAGCGCAGACAACACAACGUAAGUAGCCAGCUGUCCCUUGACGCCCUCUUCCAAAAGCCCUCCGGCCCCUGCAGAGUGUGUGCGGCUCUUUCCCUCGCUCACCCUCCGGAGUGCCACCUGGGUUUCACAAGUAGCACCUUCCAAAUCUCUCUGUCUUCAAGUUUGUGCAUGUCUGUGUGGCAUCCCUCCUCCUCCUUCACUCCUAUAGUGGAUCUUGCAAAGGGCUUCAGAUCGGCCCCAUUCAUCUCCCUGGUGAUAGCAGUGAAUGUAGAUAAAUCUCUGACUGCCUGCUUGCUGCUGGAGUAUGAUUUUUAUUUUGUCUUCCGUGUAUACCUAGGUCAAAAAGUGGGAUGUAUGCUCACACUGUGUGGAUGCGUGUGUGUGUGAAUUUGUCUCUCCCAAGCACACAAACGUACAUCUCCUCACACGUGUAUGUACGCAUAUUACAUGCGUGCACACAGAUAUAUAUCCCCGCACAUGUAUGUGUGCACACAGUACACACACAUCUCCGCACACACGCACACACACUCAUACUUCUAAUCUGCAAUUAUCUGAGGCAUUGUGUGCAUGUGUGUAUGUGUGUCCACACGCACACUGCUCUGUGUGUAUGUGCAUACACAGGCAUCUCGCUAUCUACAAACAUUCCCUCUCCUCCCAGCAGAGGCUGUGUGCAGCUGUGAUCCUGCCCUAUGAGAGCGGUAUUCCUUCCUUCCCUCGGCGUGCUGUUUGGAGACCUUCGUGCUCCCCUCUCGGGUCCCUCCCGAGCUGCAGGGCUGGCACCUCUCCCUCAGCUUGUCCGAAUGGCGAAUGGCACUGUCCGUCGCCCGCGUUGGUACAGCCUCAGAUGGCACUUCUCUCUGGAUGUCGGCUGCUCCCUUUUGUUUGUUGUUGCCCAAUCUGGGUGUGGUGGGGCUUUUUUUGGAGUUAAUUGUAAAUGAACCUGAAUGGCAAACACAUCAACAGCUUGCGAAAAAAGAGAAAAGAGAAAAAAAAAAAAAAAGAAAGCCCCUCACAAACGCCUUCUGCUGCGACAGAUGCCCAUGUUGCCCCUGGCACGGCGAGCGGGCACGAGGGGGUUGUUGCCAAGCCUUUUUCUUUUGCCGUUUUUAUUGUCCGCGUUGCCGAUUUCCCUUUAUUUUUGAAGCCUCCAAGAUGCCGGCCUCGGCAUGGAGCGGCGCGGUGUCAUGGCGGAGACGACGGCCUUUGUCUCGCGGGGUGUGAAAGCAUCCGUUGUGCUGGCUCCACUGCGGCAGAAUGACGUUCAAGGGGGAAACGUGCUGGAAGCCGGCGUGCUGUGCCCAUAGCCGAGCGUGUCCAAGGCAGGGCUGGCGGCGGAGAGCCUCGUCUGUAAUCCUGGCACUUGCGCCUCUGCUCACUGCGCGCCGCUUGCUCCUGGGGGUCUGGAUAAUCUCCCUUAGCGUUACCGCACUGUCUGGCCCGCGCACAGGGCCCCCGUAACAUAUACCCGCUGCCGUUAUCACACGGAACUGUGGCGUUGCCACUGAAUGGAUGGCACUGUGCCAACUCUUCUGCCAUCCGCCCUUGCAGCUUUUUUUUCUUCCCUCCUCCCUCCCUCUCUCCCCUCCUCCUCCUCCUCCCGUCGACUUGACGUUAAUUAACACACGGGUUAAUUGAUUUUAAAAGCUGAAGAAUUACAGUUAACUUUUCCCACAGGGUACAGCCGCCUGGCACGGCGCUGCCGCUCGUGCGGUGCAGGGGGGCAGGGAUGCGCCCACAGCAGAGCUGGGUGGCUGCAGAGGCUCUGUCUUUGGAGCACGGCGGAAGGAAGCUGAUGUGCGCCCGUCUCAUCCUUCCCAAGAUGUCACCAUCGUGUUUUGCGACAAACAGUCCCAAUGCUCCCUCCCCUCUGCGCUCAAUGGCUGCACGGGCUCUGCUGGAGGGGCAGCAGGAGGGCAGCUCGGCCGCGUGGCGGGGCUCCCAUCCGCGCAAGCUGGAGGUGCUGGGGCGGGGAGCCUGGGGAACGCUGCCCUUUUCUGCUUAUCCUGUUUUCCAGGGCAUUUUUUGUUUCCUCGGUUGGCUCCGAUAUGUCACUUGGGGUGAAGAAUCUCAACCAGGGGAAAGUUAGAUGGUCGUAAUUACAGGCGAAAUACACCAUGUGAGGGCUUUGUUUUUUCGCUUUCGCUCUACCUCGCCCCGGUCUCUGCUGGUGAAUGACGGUGCGGUUGGGAGGAGACGCGGCGGGGCUGGGAACUCAUCGCUUCCACCUUCUUGUGCUUUCAUUUUAUUUCAUUUUGUUUUUUAAAAGCAUGAAGCAAGUGAAGCGACGAGAGGAAUCCAUUAUGCAAAUCAGGUCACAUUUGCAUAAUGUCUCAUGACUGGAAUAUGCAAAUGAGUUGUAUAAUUUAUGAGUGCCAGUGUCUGUCUAAAAGUGUUUCCCAGAAUUUAUAAAAAGUGAGACGUGGGGAGGGCAGCUGGGCUCGCUGCCCUGCCAGGAGGGCUCUGCGCUUUCUUUUCAAAGUCUUCCUUCAGACCAGCAGCUGAAAUGCUCCUUAAUGAGAAGCCAGCCACCCCUUCCACACUGUCCCCCUCGUUUUCUUUUCUAUUUCUCACUCUGCCAAGCCUGGACCUGCUCGCUCUGAACUUCUUCAGGAGGCGAUGGACCUGCACGCUGGACCAGGACUCUAAAGCCAUGCACCUCUGGGCAGUCUGCUCCAUCCCUGCAUCCGUCUGGGCACUCUGGCACUUCCCGGCAGGGAGGCUGUGCCUUUCAGGCGUGCUGGCUCCAUGGGCAUGGUGUGCAAGGAAUGGGUGUAGGUGUUUGCUUCCCACAGCAUGGUGGAACUGCUGCUCAUUCAGAACACACCGCAACCUGUGCCUAGAGACCCACCUUGACCCUACAAAGAGCAGCAAGGUCUGCGCAGGGCUGGCAGUGCCCCUGAAGAGCAACCUUGAGCUUCCUGCCCUGAGCAGACAGGAGCUAUUUCAGCACUGAAAAGGUCUCUGGAACAUGCUGGAAAUGCAGGACAAGAGCCAAGAUCGAUCUAGUUUAUGUUCACUCUGCAUAUUUGGAGAUCUCAGGAGCAUCAGGAGAACACAGAUGUGUAUGCCUGGAGAGUACAGGUCUUGACUCCAGCAGUGUGUGUCAUAAUGAACUUCUCCAGUAUAACGAAAUGAUUUCAUAACCUGUGCACUUACCUGCAACUGUGGGAUUCCUGGUGUGGGGAUACAAAAGGAGCCUCAGCAUUAGAAACAGGUGGAGGAUGUGAAAGGUUACAGACAAAGACAAUGAUGCUGGAAAAAAAAAGAGCACACCAUAAAAAAGAAUUCCCACUGGAUGCUCAAGAGCAGAGGAUCUAUCAACUGCAGACCAAGCAGAGGCAGAGGCAGGCAGAACCGGAGCAAUAAUGCAGCCAGAUCCAGCAGCUCAGCCAGGAGCUGGAGGCCACCGUCAGCUGCAGGAGGAGGCUCGGACACAGUGUGGCUGAGGAAAAUCACAACACCAGCUGCAUGUAAGAAACUCCUGGAAAGAAGAACAAAGCCAUCUGUUCUCCAUGUCCACGAAGGCAUGCACAAGAACUAAUGGGUGUACCCUACAUCAAGAAAGAUUCAGGUUAGGAACAGCGUCUAAUGGAGAGGAGAACAAAGCAGGUGAACAGACUGCAAGGGGCCUGAGUGUUCUGCGUCACAGGAGAUCUUCAAGGACAGAUAAACAGAAGACAAGGCACCUGUAGGUUCCCCCGUCAUAGAACUGGAAGACAGGCCAUCAGCCUCUUGAGAUUCAUGCCAGCCUUGCUCACUUCCUAAACCCAGCUUUGUUUGUACCCAGAAACUCAUUUGUCUUCUUCAAAGCCCCACCACAGGGUCUCCUUUAGCAUUCAUAUGUUACCAACAUAUCACUUGCCAGGGUGAUUCUUCUCUCUAGAAAAGUGACUGCACGCUUGCUUCCUACCAUGGUUCACCUAACCUCCAAUGAGACUCAGUACCUGCUUUGUGUUGUAAAUGGUGUCCCAUCUUGAAAUGCACUGCCUGUGUUCCUGCACUGGAUAGUAGUGUUGAUCUGUGGGAGUAUUCUUUCCUCUUUCUUGGAACCUCAUUCUUAUGCUUCUGCAGGCUUGUUCACAGGAGACUGGCUGAAGAGCACACUCAUUGCUGUUUUCCCAGCAGAAGAUAGAAAAAUGUGUCAGGAAAUCACUGCAUGCAAAGGAGUUGGAGGAUUUGUGAGUGCAAGACCCCUGCAGAAAAUGGUGUGCAGCAGAGUAGGAAGUGCAUGGUGAAACAGAGGUACUGCUCAAGUUGACAAAAGGAGCAACACCAAAAGCUCACUUGACUGUACUGCCAGCUGAUCAGCUCUUCUGCAUGCGGCCAGGGCAAAUCGGCUUGGGCUCUCAGACUUGUAUGCCUUGUGUUGGCAGCUGGUUAAACUGUAAGAAAGAGCUGUACUAAUGGAAGGGGUUGCUUUACAUCUGGACAUCUGGAUGCUUUAAGACCUAUGGUGUGCACAUCCAUUCAUACACUGGGAGGUUUUCCAGAACUCUGACACAAUGGAGCAGUUGUGGAAGACAGCAGCCCCAAGCACUCAGUCCUGAAGAGGGAACAGUUACAGCACCUGGAGCUGCAAGCAAAACCUCGCAAGAAAGAAAGUGCAAAUGUCCCAGAACUUUUGCAGGGUUAAGACCACCUGGCUGCGUCUCAUGUCUACAAAAUCAAGGACAGCUGCUAAACAUCUGAAAAACAAGACAUUAUGAAUUAAGAUCAGUCUCAUGAUGCUGCAGCCCUGUCCCCUGCCAGGCAUGUCUGCUCUCUAGUACCCACCACCCUACCCUGGAGGCCGCACAGCACUGCAGGGGAGCAAAGGAGCCUUCUCUUUGCUGAAGCGAAGCUCAGGUGCAGGUCAGGCAGGACAGAUGGGAGCUGCCCACAUCAUCCCUGUGUUUGGGCAGUGAGCUUCCUAAAACAGCUCCACCUGCGCCUGCUGUGGUCACCCUUUCACUCUUACUGCAGGGAUUCCUUCUGAGAUGCACCUUCCCUUCCUCUGGAAGGUACCAAUGCUGAUGUUGUACAGGCCACACGGCAGCUCACAGCUCCAUGUGGCCCAAAGGCUGCUCUGUGUGCUUCAGAUGAUGCACUGUGCUGAGAGGCUGAUUCAUCCCUGCAGACCUCAGCCUGGUGGCUCUUACCCACCUUUCACCAUUCAGCACAAGCACACCCAACAGUGAAUGCAGAUAAAUGCUGCAGUUAAAAAUCACUGUUGGUGAACACAAUCAUGGCAUGUUCUUGUAGCCCUUCUUUUGUGCCAUUCUAUUUUAGGGGUAACAGGUUCUAGGUCUUCAGAGGCAGGGAGCAGAAGAUUAUUUUAUUCAGUCUGGGGUCUUAACCAUUAUCAGUGCUCAUAAUUUGGGUCCUAAGCAAGGACACCCACAUUGUCUGUAGCAUCUUCAGGGCACUGGGUCUGCCAUCAUUAGGCCCUUCAUUCAGGUCCUGUAGGGUUUCUCUUUGUCCACCCCUGCAGGGACUGAGAGUCUGUCCUCAGGGCAGCCUUACGAAUACUGUUAUAACAUUCAAUAAGGCCUGCCCCCGUCACAUUAUAUGGCGGGUGGAAUUGCCACUCAAUGUUGUUUUCUUCUGUGCAGCAUUUUACCAUUGUGCCAGUGCAACGAGUCCCAUGGUCGCUCUCGAUGACUUCAGGUGUCCCGUAGGCAGCCAUCAGUUUGACUCUGGCCACGCUGCUGAUAAUUCGUAUUUGUUGAUAUUCCUCAGCAGCCAAACACACACAGUAUGCCCCAGACGGUACCCAGAUGUGAUUGGAGCCGAUACCCUCUUCCUGCGAACAGAGAAUUGCAAAUUAUCACUACAGCAGCAGAGGAAUAACCUUUACGGCUCAUUAAAAUUCCACAGAUUCUGCUCUGUUUUCCCUUCCGCGAACCCAAAGGGCACUGCUGGUGGAAUGGAAUUCCCCCCCCGCCCCCGCACCCGUCAGGUUCGGGCCGGGAUGUGACAUCUCCGUCUGUCCGCCGUCCCCGCCCGUGCCUGUGCCGGUAGGGGCGCCGGGCCCCACCAUGCGCCCCGAGGAGCCAUAGGACGGGGUCCGGCUCGGAGCCCUCCGCAUACGGUCGGGGAACGCGCUCUGCCGCAGCGUGCAGCCCCGCCGCGAGCCGCCUCUGAGCCGCGCCGCGCUC